CACAAGCGGUGGAUGAUGUGGUUAAUUCGAUGCAACGCGAAAACCUUACCACCUUGACAUGUACGGAAGCCUUAGAGAUAGAGGCGUGCUCGAAAGAGAGCCGUAACACAGGUGCUGCAUGGCUGUCGUCAGCUCGUGUCGUGAGAUGUUGGGUUAAGUCCCGCAACGAGCGCAACCCUUGUCAUUAGUUGCUACAUUCAGUUGGGCACUCUAAUGAGACUGCCGGUGACAAGCCGGAGGAAGGUGGGGAUGACGUCAAGUCCUCAUGGCCCUUAUAGGUGGGGCUACACACGUCAUACAAUGGCUGGUACAAAGGGUUGCCAACCCGCGAGGGGGAGCUAAUCCCAUAAAGCCAGUCGUAGUCCGGAUCGUAGUCUGCAACUCGACUACGUGAAGUCGGAAUCGCUAGUAAUCGUGGAUCAGAAUGUCACGGUGAAUACGUUCCCGGGUCUU
rnacentral:rRNA from 1 species